UACGAAGGGGGCUAGCGUUGCUCGGAAUCACUGGGCGUAAAGCGCACGUAGGCGGAUCUUUAAGUCAGGGGUGAAAUCCUGGAGCUCAACUCCAGAACUGCCUUUGAUACUGAGGAUCUUGAGUCCGGGAGAGGUGAGUAGAACUCCGAGUGUAGAGGUGAAAUUCGUAGAUAUUCGGAAGAACACCAGUGGCGAAGGCGGCUCACUGGCCCGGUACUGACGCUGAGGUGCGAAAGCGUGGGGAGCAAACAGG
rnacentral:rRNA from 1 species